CCUACGGGAGGCAGCAGUGGGGAAUUUUGGACAAUGGGCGCAAGCCUGAUCCAGCAAUGCCGCGUGAGUGAAGAAGGCCUUCGGGUUGUAAAGCUCUUUUGUCAGGGAAGAAACGGUGGGGGCUAAUAUCUCCUACUAAUGACGGUACCUGAAGAAUAAGCACCGGCUAACUACGUGCCAGCAGCCGCGGUAAUACGUAGGGUGCAAGCGUUAAUCGGAAUUACUGGGCGUAAAGCGUGCGCAGGCGGUUUUGUAAGUCUGUCGUGAAAGCCCCGGGCUCAACCUGGGAAUUGCGAUGGAGACUGCAAGGCUUGAAUCUGGCAGAGGGGGGUAGAAUUCCACGUGUAGCAGUGAAAUGCGUAGAGAUGUGGAGGAACACCGAUGGCGAAGGCAGCCCCCUGGGUCAAGAUUGACGCUCAUGCACGAAAGCGUGGGGAGCAAACAGGAUUAGAUACCCUGGUAGUCCACGCCCUAAACGAUGUCUACUAGUUGUCGGGUUUUAAUUAACUUGGUAACGCAGCUAACGCGUGAAGUAGACCGCCUGGGGAGUACGGUCGCAAGNUUAAAACCUCAAAGUAGUAGUGGACGUGNGAGAGCGACGACGACGACGACGAGGAGGAGG
rnacentral:rRNA from 1 species